rnacentral:lncRNA from 1 species
UACACAGGACGCGCCAUAAUUAUUUCGUAAGCUUGAGAGGUGUAAUUUCAGAAGUUAAUCGCCCGAGAUAUGACCCAUCCUGAAAAGUAGCUCUAAUCUAGGAGCUGCAUUGUUGUUCGAGAUCCUCUGCACGGCAGUUCGCGGGCUUGGUGCAAGCGGCUUGCUGUGGAUUGAUCUUUCAAGCUGGGAGCUUUGGGAUCAGCCGGGCCUGCAAGGGUUUGGAAUUGCUCGAAAGAAUACAGCUUUGAACAACAUAGGGGGGAUGACCGUAUUCAGGGGCGGUCCUCCUAAAGUGGAGAAAGACUAGGGGAAUAUGGGGUCCGGAUCUUGCGGUGCAUACAGUUUCAGCGGAAGUAGCUGUCCGCUCCCUUGUCCAGUAACCAUUCUGAGUGGGGCUAGAACUUUGACGGGAAAAGCGCCGGGUCCGGGAAAGAAAGGAGUCACACAAAUAGGUGGUGACUUCCUCUACUCGCUUUAGUACAAGAAGGCAGACCUUUUUCCAGCAAGUCGGGUUGCUACCGGGACUACUGUGGAAGCUGGGUGGUUCUGAG